AUUUUUUCAUUAAUUUUUUUAUGUUUUUAUCAUCUUGUAUUAUCUUAAGUUGUCCAAGUUGUUAAAAACAUUCUAUUUCUUAAUAAAAGCUUUAUAUUUAAUUUGUUUGGAUGGAUUG